rnacentral:rRNA from 1 species
AUUGAACGCUGGCGGCAUGCUUUACACAUGCAAGUCGAACGGCAGCGCGGGCUUCGGCCUGGCGGCGAGUGGCGAACGGGUGAGUAAUGCAUCGGAACGUGCCCAGUAGUGGGGGAUAGCCCGGCGAAAGCCGGAUUAAUACCGCAUACGACCUGAGGGUGCAAGCGGGGGACCGAAAGGCCUCGCGCUAUUGGAGCGGCCGAUGUCGGUUUAGCUAGUUGGGGGGGUAAAGGCUUACCAAGGCGACGAUCCGUAGCUGGUCUGAGAGGACGACCAGCCACACUGGGACUGAGACACGGCCCAGACUCCUACGGGAGGCAGCAGUGGGGAAUUUUGGACAAUGGGGGCAACCCUGAUCCAGCCAUGCCGCGUGCGGGAAGAAGGCCUUCGGGUUGUAAACCGCUUUUGUUCGGGAAGAAAUCCUCUGGGCUAAUACCCCGGGGGGAUGACGGUACCGGAAGAAUAAGCACCGGCUAACUACGUG